GGGCACCCUCCCUCUCCUUUCCAAGCUGAGUUCUCCUCCUCACCGGUUAAUGAUUAUUUUGAUUAAGGAGGCAGUGCUGCAGAGGAGCUGCCCUUAACAAAAUGGAUCCUCCGCUGGAAUCUGCGUGGUGGAGAUGAGUUUAUACCGGCUGGCUGACUGGCAAGAAGCUUGGAGACCAAAGCUCGCCGCGCUGCCGAUCUGGUAGCAAAUUAGACUCAAACUUGGCCCGGCCCUUUGAAGUCUCCCUGUUUGAGGUUACGACGGUAAAGGGAUAAUGAGUGGAUGAAAGGGGCCUCUUUAGCCGAGCUUGUUUUCUCGGGGACAGAGAUGAAUAAACUUCAGAAACCGAGAGCGCGCUCUGCCAGGCCCUGCUCGCGGGGGCGGAGAGCAGAAGGCAGCACCUGGCUGGCCGCUGUUUGCCUGCGCCAGCGGAUCAGAGGGCGCUCCCACCCUGGGGGCUGCCAGGAAGCCGCUUCACAGGGAAGCUCCGUCGCCUGCUGCUUCUGCUGCUGGAGAGCCCCAAAAGAAAACGAGGAGGGGGCGCCUCUGUAGGAGAGUUCCAGGUGUCUGGCGGGGUGAGGGCAAGGCAGAUGGACGGAGAGCGCUUAUUCCUAUAGGGAACCCUAUGAUUGCAGGGAUGUGGAAUGGCCUGCAUGUCAUUCAUAACGGCUGAUUUCUGUGAAACCUCACCCUUUAUCUAUCAUUCUGCGUUUUUUGCCCAGCCCCUCCGCCCGUUCAGGAGGACUUGAGACCUCCGCUCCAAAAGCCGAAUUUUCUUGGUAAAUAAAUAGCCAACAGUGUU